rnacentral:rRNA from 1 species
CAGCCGCCGCGGUAAUACCGGCGGCCCGAGUGGCGGUCACUAUUAUUGGGCUUAAAGCGUCCGUAGCCGGGUUGGGAAGUCCUCCGGGAAAUCUGGCCGCUUAACGGUCAGAAUGCCGGAGGAUACUCCCAGCCUAGGGAGCGGGAGAGGCCGAGGGGAUUCCCGGGGUAGGGGGGAAAUCCUAUAAUCCCGGGAGGACCAGCUGUGGCGAACGCGCUCGGCUGGAACGCGUCCGACGGUGAGGGACGAAGGCCAGGGGAGCAAACCGGAUUAGAUACCCGGGUAGUCCUGGCUGUAAACGAUGCGGACUUUGUGUCGGACAAGCUAUGAGCUUGUCCGGUGCCGGAGGGAAACCGUUAAGUCCGCCGCCUGGGGAGUACGGCCGCAAGGCUGAAACUUAAAGGAAUUGGCGGG